rnacentral:rRNA from 1 species
ACUCCUACGGGAGGCAGCAGUGGGGAAUAUUGCACAAUGGGCGCAAGCCUGAUGCAGCAACGCCGUGUGAGUGAAGAAGGUUUUCGGAUCGUAAAACUCUGUCCUAAGGGAAGAAACAAAUGACGGUACCUUAGGAGGAAGCCCCGGCUAACUACGUGCCAGCAGCCGCGGUAAUACGUAGGGGGCAAGCGUUAUCCGGAAUCACUGGGCGUAAAGGGUGCGUAGGCGGCUUAGCAAGCCAGGGGUGAAAGGCAUUGGCUCAACCAAUGUAAGCCUUUGGAACUGUUAAGCUUGAGUGCAGGAGAGGUAAGUGGAAUUCCUAGUGUAGAGGUGAAAUUCGUAGAUAUUAGGAGGAACACCAGUGGCGAAGGCGACUUACUGGACUGUAACUGACGCUGAUGCACGAAAGCGUGGGUAGCGAACAGGAUUAGAUACCCUGGUAGCAAGAG